UGAAGUAAGUAAGGGCGUACGGUGAAUGCCUUGGUGCCAACAGGCGAAGAAGGACGCGGCAAGCUGCGAAAAUCCUCGGGAAGCUGCAAGCAAGCGAUGAUCCGGGGGUAUCCGAAUGGGGUAACCUGAUCGAGGCAAUACUCGAUCGUUCAUACCUGAAUACAUAGGGUAUGAAACGCGAAACCCGCUGAAGUGAAACAUCUCAGUAAGCGGAGGAAAAGAAAGAGAAAUCGAUUCCGUAAGUAGUGGCGAGCGAAAGCGGAUGGAGCCCAAACCGAAGGUACUCCUUCGGGGUUGUAGGACCACGAGAUAUUCGACCAUACUGGAUAGUAGAACAGCCUGGAAAGGCUGGCCGUAGAAGGUGAAAGCCCUGUAGACGAAAUCCAGCGUGGGAAUUAGUGGGAUCCUGAGUAAUACAUCACACGUGGAACGAUGUAUGAAUCAGCGCGGACCACCGCGCAAGGCUAAAUACUAGUUGGCGACCGAUAGUGAACAAGUACCGCGAGGGAAAGGUGAAAAGAACCGCUGUGAGCGGAGUGAAAUAGAACCUGAAACCGUAUGUCUACAAAGUGUCAGAGCAGAGCAAUCUGCGAUGGCGUGCCUUUUGUUUAAUGAGUCUGCGAGUCAGUGUUUGUGGCAAGACUAAGGGCUUCCGGCCCGGAGUCGCAGCGAAAGCAAGUCCGAAUAGGGCGAAUUAAGUCGCAGGUACUGGACCCGAAGCGGAGGUGACCUACCCUUGGCCAGGUUGAAGCAUGGGUAAAACCAUGUGGAGGACCGAACAGGUGAACGUUGAAAAGUUCUCUGAUGAGCUGAGGGUAGGAGUGAAAGGCUAAUCAAACCCCGUGAUAGCUGGUUCUCUUCGAAAUGCAUUUAGGUGCAGCGUCACGUGCUGAUGCGCGGGGGUAGAGCACUGACAAGGCUAGGGGGCACACCCGCUUACCAAACCUUAUCAAACUCCGAAUACCGUGCAAUGGAACGUGGCAGUGAGACAGUGGGGGAUAAGCUUCAUUGUCGAGAGGGAAACAACCCAGACCAGCAGCUAAGGUGCCUAAAUAACGCUCAGUGGAAAGGAUGUGGGAUUACACAGACAGUGAGGAUGUUGGCUUAGAAGCAGCCACCAUUUAAAAAAUGCGUAAUAGCUUACUCAUCGAGUGAUCCUGCGCCGAAAAUGAUUGGCGAUCAAGCGUUAUACCGAAGCUCUGGACUUUACCUUACGGUAGAGUGGUAGAAGAGCGUUGCAUGCGCGUUGAAGGGUGAUGGCGACUGACCCUGGAGCACAUGCAAGUGAGUAUGCAGACAUGAGUAACGUAAAGCCGGGUGAAAUCCCCGGCCGCCGUAAACCCGAGGUUUCCAGGGCAACGUGUUUCGUCCCUGGGUUAGCCGGGACCUAAGCCGAGGCCGAGAGGCGUAGGCGAUGGAUAUCAGGUUAAUAAUCCUGAGCUCGCGACCCUUAAACUGGGGGGACGCAUGAGAAAAGAUGACUAGGUUAUUGAAUUCCGAGUUGAGUCCACGGACUCAGCGCAUCAUUGGAUCGAGUGCCAAGAAAAGCCCCAGCGUAUGCUAAGCGACCCGUACCGCAAACCGACACAGGUGGGUGGGUAGAAUAUACCAAGGCGUAAGAGUGAAACCUGGUUAAGGAACUCGGCAAAUUAGCCCCGUAACUUCGGAAGAAGGGGUGCCUGCAGCGAUGCAGGCCGCAGAGAAAUGGCCCAACCGACUGUUUAUCAAAAACACAGCACUCUGCAAAGACGCAAGUCGAAGUAUAGGGUGUGACACGUGACCAAUGCCGAAAGAUUAAGGCAAGGGGUUAGCCGCAAGGCGAAGCUCUGAACCCAAGUCCCGGUGAAUGUCGGCCGUAACUAUAACGGUCCUAAGGUAGCGAAAUUCCUUGUCGGG
rnacentral:rRNA from 1 species